UAUUCAGGUGUAUGAAGGUGAAAGAGCUAAAACCAAAGACAACAAUCUUCUUGGCAAAUUCGAGCUCACCGGAAUCCCACCUGCUCCAAGGGGCGUUCCUCAAAUUAAUGUGUGUUUCGACAUUGACGCCAACGGUAUUUUGAAUGUCUCUGCAGAGGAUAAGACCGCCGGAGUGAAGAACAAGAUCACAAUCACUAACGAUAAAGGACGGCUGAGCAAAGAAGAGAUUGAAAGGAUGGUGCAAGAAGCAGAGAAGUACAAAUCAGAGGAUGAAGAGGUGAAGAAGAAGGUGGAGGCUAAGAACUCCUUGGAGAACUACGCAUAUAACAUGAGAAAUACAGUGAAGGAUGACAAGUUCGCCGGAAAAUUGGCUCAGGCAGACAAGGAGAAAAUUGAGAAAGCAAUUGAUGAGACAAUUGAGUGGUUGGACAGGAACCAAUUAGC
rnacentral:misc_RNA from 1 species